CCUUAGUCUCCUGAGUGGCUGGGACCACAGACGCACACCAUCAUGCCCAGAUGGAAUCUCACUCUGUGAGUCUCACUCUAUCGCCCAGGCUGGAGUGCAGUGGCACAAUCUCAGCUCACUGCAACCUCUGCCUCCAGAGCUCAAGCAAUCCGCCCACCUUGACCUCCCAAAAUGCUGGGAUUACCGACCUGUGUGUACUUUAUAAAUUAAACUUUAUCAUAGGCCUGCAUAUAUAGAAAAAUAUAUAGUCUAUACAGUGUAGAGUGUGCUACUAUCUGUCCUUUCAGACAUCCACCAGGGGUCUUGAAGCUUAUCCCCCAGAAGAUGAGGUGGGAACUACUGUAAAUAAUUUUGACCCUUUGAAAUCUGAUGAGACUUGUUUUACUUCCUAACAUAUGGUAUAUUUUGUGAAUGUUACGUGUUUAUUUGAAAACUUUAAUUCCUGUCAGUAACAGCUUGAAGUCUUCAGUACAAAGCGUCUGAACAUCUUUCAUUCCGUACAAUGCAUUCUGUAUUCUGUUUUGUG
rnacentral:lncRNA from 1 species